GAUGAACGCUGGCGGCGUGCCUAAUACAUGCAAGUCGAGCGAACAGACGAGGAGCUUGCUCCUCUGACGUUAGCGGCGGGCGGGUGAGUCACACGUGGAUAACCUACCUAUGAGACUGAGAUAACUUCGGGAAACCGGAUCUAAUACCGGAUAAUAUAUUGAACCGCAUGGUUCAAUAGUGAAAGACGGUUUUGCUGUCACUUAUAGAUGGAUCCGCGCCGGAUUAGCUAGUUGGUAAGGUAACGGCUUACCAAGGCAACGAUGCGUAGCCGACCUGAGAGGGUGAUCGGCCACACUGGAACUGAGACACGGUCCAGACUCCUACGGGAGGCAGCAGUAGGGAAUCUUCCGCAAUGGGCGAAAGCCUGACGCAGCAACGCCGCGUGAGUGAUGAAGGUCUUCGGAUCGUAAAACUCUGUUAUUAGGGAAGAACAAAUGUGUAAGUAACUAUGCACGUCUUGACGGUACCUAAUCAGAAAGCCACGGCUAACUACGUG
rnacentral:rRNA from 1 species